rnacentral:sRNA from 1 species
UUUUUUUGUGAAAUCAUUUUCUGAAAUUUUUCAAAAUUUUUUUGGUUUUUCUAUGCCUUAGAUAAAUGCAGACUCAAAAAUAUACACAAUGCAACACACACUUCCUGAGCCGUCCCCCAAACUUAUCAUGUUUCUUGUACCACUUCUGCAGCUUGCUGUUGUUUCUAUGAGCUUCGCUCAAACUCUUGCUUUCCCGCGAUGGAGGUAUAAGCUCGCUGAAAUGAUACAUGCUCGUGUCAAACUCCGCCUCAUUUAUAUCAUCUGUCUCAUCAACAUCUUCUGUUGUAGCUCCUUUGGUGUGACUAACCUCCUCAGUUGGCGGACUGCCCUCAAAAUAAAGAUCUUCUAGCGCAGGCUUGAAGUCAAUGUUCCUUCCCUCAAGAAUCCUAGUAGCGUCAAUGCAGGGGAGAAGAAUGUUGGCGAUUCUAGAAUGCUCGAACCUGUAGCGGUGGAAGUCGCCAGCCAUGUCAAACUCCAAGAACUCACAUCGGCGCAAAUGAUCCAAGUCCAUCAUCCUCGGUGCUAACCCUGGUUCCUUGAGCGGUACUCCACAAGCUUCCAGAAUUGGCGUCAAAACGCCACCCACAAAUAGUGCUCCUCUCACAUUCUUCUUAAUGUUUGUCAACGCCCACUUCCUAUAUCCACACAGGUGGAUCAAUAGAGGCAUUACUGGUGGUGUGUUGUUGAGAUCGCCUCUCAAGACAUUCUUUCCCUUUGUACGGCGGAGAAUCCCUGUGAGCGCGGAAUCUAUCAUCUCCAUGUCCGUGUUAGACACGGUGCCUGUAGACUCCCAGGAGUAAAAGACGUUGGCAACUGAUCGCUCAAAGUAGCGGAUCAUAGGACUCUGGAUUUUGUUGCUCUUGGACCGCGCCGAGUUUAGCGAUAGAUUGUUCCCUAUAGUGGCCCACAAAUCCUUAAGCUCCUCUCUGUCAAAUCUGGGUUUGGUUCCCUUUUCACUAGGGAAACCAAACAGUUCUUCCAACUUCUUGAUCGAAAGCUGAUACCGCUGUUCAUCCACUGAGAACGUCAAGAAGCCUAACCCCAUGGUUUCCAGCUCAAAGUCUGUGAGUCCCUCAUACAUCUCCACUUGCAGCGUGGAAAGAAACUCGAUUGUCUCCUCCUUAUAGGCAGCGUAAAGGUAAGACAUGAGUGUCUCCAGAUGACACUUCUCGAACAGAUGCUGCACGUCCUCCAGUAACCCCAGUUGGGUUAAAGUCUCAUAGCACGGAUACCUCAUUCCCCAGAAGUCAUUCAUCUCAAAGAGUCUGAUAUAUUCCUCCAUUGUAACCUCGUCGGGUUUGUUCAGCAGCUUCGUCUCCUUGCGCCAUGACUCUGGCUCAUAGUCAGUUUAGAUAUCCUCAUCAAUCAGCUCAUAUCUACUCGACAUCGCCCUCUUUCCUCUGGCGAUUUCAGCUCUUCUCUGAUUACGUCGAACUGCGGAGCGUUCAAAUUCAUCCCUGAAGCUCUCGUAAGCAUGUUGCCUCUCGGUCUAACGGACCAGGACUCAGCUUCAUCCACAUUAUAAUCAGGGUCCAUAGAGGAUUCUCCACUGUAGUUACUCAUGAUGAAACCUGAAAACAGAAGAAACUCAAAGAUAAACGUAAUAGCAAAACCAAAAACACAAACCAAUCAAGUAAAAAGGUCGAGUAUAACCAAACCGGUCGAGUGUUUGGACCAAAUCCCU